rnacentral:rRNA from 1 species
GCAGGCUUAACACAUGCAAGUCGAGCGCCCCGCAAGGGGAGCGGCAGACGGGUGAGUAACGCGUGGGAAUCUACCUUUUGCUACGGAAUAACUCAGGGAAACUUGUGCUAAUACCGUAUGUGCCCUUCGGGGGAAAGAUUUAUCGGCAAAGGAUGAGCCCGCGUUGGAUUAGCUAGUUGGUGAGGUAAAGGCUCACCAAGGCGACGAUCCAUAGCUGGUCUGAGAGGAUGAUCAGCCACACUGGGACUGAGACACGGCCCAGACUCCUACGGGAGGCAGCAGUGGGGAAUAUUGGACAAUGGGCGCAAGCCUGAUCCAGCCAUGCCGCGUGAGUGAUGAAGGUCUUAGGAUUGUAAAGCUCUUUCACCGGUGAAGAUAAUGACGGUAACCGGAGAAGAAGCCCCGGCUAACUUCGUGCCAGCAGCCGCGGUAAUACGAAGGGGCUAGCGUUGUUCGGAUUUACUGGGCGUAAAGCGCACGUAGGCGGACUUUUAAAGU